AAGCCGUCGUCUCGUUCGACUACGGCACCGGCGCGUGCUCCGAAGCAAUCGACGAGUCCGCAUGCCCGUUGUACGAUCCGCUCCCGUUCGCCGUCGGCGACGCGGAUCCGAUGCUCCCGUUCGAUCCGAUGCGGUGGCGACCACACCAUGCAGCAGGACCAGAAGCUAGCGGCGGCGGCGGCGGCGCGGGAGCUGCUUAAGGCAGAGGCGCAAGGGGAGCGGAGGGCCAAGGUGGCGUUGCAGAAGCGGAAGGCCACGGGGGGAGCUGCUGCGGCGGCACCGGAGCAGAAGCGGAAGGCCAGGGGGGAGCUGCGGCGGCGCCGGAGCAGAUGAGUUCCGGCCGCGCCGGCCAUGCGCUGGAGCAGAACGAAGCAAGCGCAUCUUCAGCAUGUACUCCGAUUUCAUUGACUGACAGAAAUUUCUUCUUCAGUGGUGUCGGCAGCUUGUUCGGUAGCAGCCCUUUGUCUCAACCAUGGAUGCUAUCUUCAGAACCUGCAACAUGGUUGAUGUGUUGCUCUCGAGAAGAUGGUGAAAGGAAGGAGAUGUGCAUGUCAAUGAAGUCUGGAAUUCAAGUGUGAAAGUAAGAAGCUGUGCAUGUCAAUCAAGGCUGAAAUUCAAGUCUGAAAGUGCUUCAUCAAUAUAUAUGUUGCGGUUAUUGUGAUGCAUUUUGAACCAAUGGCUAUUGAUGUGCCAUCUGAUAUGAUAUAUUUUCACAUUGUGUGAACUGAAUUGAUCUAUUUUAAUGCUGUGUGAACUGAAUUGAUAUAUUCUACAUACUUAUUUUAAGAGUCAUACAAAUUAUUUGACUGUAGUGUGCAUUCUCUCAUGUAUGCAACAAAAUGGCUACAAAGAUCAAUUAUGCACUGGAUCACCAUGAGUUUGUGUGUCAA